UAAUACCGGAUAAUUCUUUCCAUCACAUGGGGAAAAGCUGAAAGACGGCAUCUCGCUGUCACUUACAGAUGGGCCCGCGGCGCAUUAGCUAGUUGGUGAGGUAACGGCUCACCAAGGCAACGAUGCGUAGCCGACCUGAGAGGGUGAUCGGCCACACUGGGACUGAGACACGACCCAAACUCAUACGGGAGGCAGCAGUAGGGAAUCUUCCGCAAUGGACGAAAGUCUGACGGAGCAACGCCGCGUGAGUGAUGAAGGUUUUCGGAUCGUAAAGCUCUGUUGUUAGGGAAGAACAAGUACAAGAGUAACUGCUUGUACCUUGACGGUACCUAACCAGAAAGCCACGGCUAACUACGUGCCAGCAGCCGCGGUAAUACGUAGGUGGCAAGCGUUGUCCGGAAUUAUUGGGCGUAAAGCGCGCGCAGGCGGUCCUUUAAGUCUGAUGUGAAAGCCCACGGCUCAACCGUGGAGGUCAUUGAAAACUGGGGGGACUUGAGUGCAGAAGAGAAGAGUGGAAUUCCACGUGUAGCGGUGAAAUGCGUAGAGAUGUGGAGGAACACCAGUGGCGAAGGCGACUCUUUGGUCUGUAACUGACGCUGAGCGCGAAAGCG
rnacentral:rRNA from 1 species